rnacentral:rRNA from 1 species
AACGGAGUUACUUUGGUGAGGUUUUCGGAUGGAUCUGAUUUAACUUAGUGGCGGACGGGUGAGUAAUGCGUGAGCAACCUGCCCUUCAGAGGGGGACAACAGUUGGAAACGACUGCUAAUACCGCAUAAUGUAUCCGGGAGGCAUCUUCUGGAUACCAAAGGAGAAAUCCGCUGAUGGAUGGGCUCACGUCUGAUUAGCUAGUUGGUGAGGUAACGGCUCACCAAGGCUGCGAUCAGUAGCCGGACUGAGAGGUUGAACGGCCACAUUGGGACUGAGAUACGGCCCAGACUCCUACGGGAGGCAGCAGUGGGGAAUAUUGGGCA